UUAAAGAUAUUCAUAAGCACUUAGCACAGGUUUCCAUGGUUUUGAGAAGUUUUCCUUUGUUUUCUUCGUAUUUUUUUCCCCCUCUUCUUCUAACUUUGUGUUUUUCCCGUCAUCAAAGAACGGAUCGCCAGGGUCUGUGCUGCCACCGCGCGUCAAUUCCCAUCGUAGAGGUUAUUUCCACGGUCUCUGCUGCCACCACGUGGCCAAUCCGCAGAACUGCCGCUGUCUAAGUUGCUGGGUCCCGCAGGCAGCACAACGCAUGCGCGCAGAAACGGGAAAGUGGCGUAUGUACGUACUAACCGCUCUGCGCAGCUAGUCCGCCAAUCUUUAUUGUGAUUAAUCCCCCCCCCACGCAAUAGCAUGCAUGCGCCCAAAACUUAUAAAAACUACUUCUACUUAAAACUCAGAUACGGGUGAGCAGUCAAUUCUAGGAACACGAGCACAGCAAUACCGCCCCUUUCUAAUUCAGUAUUCGGUAUUGCCCAUUUCCGCGGUUUUAUGCCCAAGCGCGCCCUGGGAACGGACGGUCUUUAUUCCAAAUGGCCCAUGCGCACGUCGCGGCAUCCUAUUGGCUCAGCGUUUCACCUGACUGACAGGUGCCCGCCCCAGCCCCGCGCACGCGCAGUACCUCAGCGGUACUCGCUGCUGCCGCCUAUUGAAGAGAAUCCGUAUUGCAGACGCCGCUCAGGUCCCGCAGGCAGCACAACGCGUGCGCGCAGAAAUGCGGAAGUGGCGUACCUGAGUUCAAGCCAUCCUGAGCUGCGAAUUCGCCAAUCUUUAUUAUGAUAAGCCCUCCACGCAGCAAUGCGCAUGCGCCCGAAGACGUACGGAGGACAUGGAUUUCUCCGGACUCCUUGAAGUGCGAGCGAGCAGAGCAGUCGCAGACCAUCAGCUCUGAGCAACACUCUGCCGUCUACUCUGCUAUAUCUCUUGUCUAUUUCCGCGUUUUUAUGCCCAAGCCCGCGCUGACCACCGGCCGUUUUGACUCGAGACUAGAGACUGCCCAUGAGCUCGCCGCGGCAUCCAAUUGGCUACCCGAGGCACGGGAUUGACAGGUGCCCCCUCCAACGCCUCGCAUGCGCACUAGCACUACGGCACUCGCUGCUGCCGCCUAUUGAAGAGAUUUCGGUACUGCAUGCGAUGCUCCAGGCACGCAGGCGGCUUCCUUUUCUAUGACUGCUCGAGAGCAGCGCGCAUGUCUGUCUCCCCCUCGCUGCCGGCUCCCGGGGCCAGGAACAGACCGGUUCGGCUCACAGCUGCCCUUAAGCGCCUCAUGGCAUCCAAGGUGCUCAUUACCGCGGUAAACUGGCAGGCGUCCCCCAGCCAUUUAAAAGCGCUCUCUGCAGCAGGGGAUCCGAAGCAGCUUGGAGAUUCGUGGAGCGCGGUACUGGCGUGGAGUGGCCCUCACACCGCAUCCCGGGACCGGCACAGAGCGGCUCUGGAAUCACCCCAAGUGGCACACUGCUGCGUUUCAUAGGAGCUGGUGAACGGGCUUCUCCACCCACCCCGGGCACCUCGCCACGCACUGCAGAUUUUCUUCCGCAGGAAUCGUACAACGGAGCGGGAAGCAAGCAGGAAAAUGUAUCGUGCCAGACCGAUGGGGGAAGAAGCACCGCCGCCUGCUCACCUGCCGAUCUUUGCCCGGAUGCUGCUCGAGCAACGGGAAGCCGCGUGUCCCGUAAUGCCCGGAACCCAGCUGUGGUGACUGAUUGCCUGAACGGGAGCUUCCAACAAACGGCAGACUCAGGCUUCACGGGCCAGAGAUGGAACGAACACGAGGGCCUCUGGAUUUCCAAAAACAAAUAAGAAGGCUGCGAAUCAGAUGCUGUGUUUGAUGCUUUUCCUGGCUGUCCUACUUAAGGAUUCCCUCUGUCCGUAGGCACAUUUGGUUGGUUUGGUUGGACCACAGGAGCUUGGUGCUUAUGACCAAAGUUCUUUAUGAUACAGAGCUGUGCUGCCUGCUCUCUAGACCAAAUAUGCAUAAUGUUGGAGGAGGUUAUGCUUUCUUUUUUUUUUUUUUAAUGCUUUUGAAGUAUGAGACUGAUACAUGCCUUCAAACAGAUAACGUUUAAAGGAAAUGUAUUUUUCCUUCCUCCCCCCCCCCCUUCCCCUUUUUCUUCUACAAAGCUCUCAGUAAGUAAUGCCAAUUGAAUACAACUAAUAUGAAUCUCUGUUUGCAAGAGAUACUGCUAGUGUGAUGUAUAACUUCAAGACAGGAAGAUCAACUGGGAUUAAGUCGGUAGAGUGGUGCAAAAUGUAGGUAGGUAGUUGCUGUGUCUGAAACUUGAUUCCUGAUAGUACUUUUGCUGCUGAGAAAUAGAACCACAGAUUCUGAGGUAACUUCACCAAUGUGGACUAUCCCAGGCUGAUACUUACUUCAUUCUUUAGUGUCGACAUCUGUCAUGAUUUCUUCCGUACAAGGAAGUCCAGGUGUUGUCAGAAGCUAUUCAGACAUAUUGUGUUAAUUUUAUCCUAGACUGGCUGCUGCUUGACAUGCUGUCUACACAUCGAUGACAGAAGUAUUAGCUUAUGUUUCCUGACCUCUGGCCAUGUUCUGACAGUGGUGCUUAGGACAUUAGAAGGGAAUCUCUUUAGGAGAUUGAAGAGAUGUUUUUUGCUUUUUGCCUGUGCUGAAUCAGUAAUUAGCUUUGAGAUGCGAUGAGAUGCCAUCUAAGCUAGAAGACAUCACGGGAAGAAAAAGGACCCGGGGAUCAGUUCCAUGUCAACCUUUGUUUGGUCUUUUUCCAUUUUGCAUGUAGCUACUACAGAUAUACGUACUAUUUGCAAGAAAACAUCUGUUUUACUGGAGAAUGAGCAUAAUAUUGCAGUUUCUUUUGGCCCUAGUGUCUUUCUAACCCUAAUACUUCAACCCUCUCUUUAUUCCAGGUAACCAAGUCUCCCAUUUCCUUCUCGAGUGGGCUUACAUUUUUCCUAGUUUUCCUUUUAUCACUGGUUUUACUUACAGGAGCUUUUCUUGUUGCCCUUAACAUCCCUGGCCAGAUUUAAUUCUAUCAGGGCUUUAGCUUUCCUAACCCGAUCCCUGCCUUUUCAGACAAUUUCUCUAUAUCCCACCCAGGCUUGCUGUUCUUGUGUCCACUCUCCGUAGUCUUUCUUUUUGUGUUUGCGUUUGUCCAGGAGCUGCUCAUUCAUCCAUGCAGGCCUCCUGGCAUUUUUGCCUGGCUUCCUCUUUGUUGGUAUGCAUCACUCCUGAGUUUGCAGGCAGUGAUCCUUGAAUGUUAAUGAGCUUUCUUGGACCCCUAUUACCUCCAAGGCUUGAUCCUGCACUACUCUACCAAGAAAAUCUCUGAAGGGUCAAAGUCUGCUCUCCUGAAGUCCAGGGAAGUGAACUUGCUGUGCCCGCCUCCUCGCUGCCCCAAGGACCUUGAAUGCCAGCAUGCCACAGACAGCGCAGCUACUUCUGCCCUCGAGCUUCACGUUCCCCACCAGCCUCUUCUUAUCGAAGAAAGAGAAAACGGAACGCCAGGAUGGGGCUGGGGAGCCGCGCUGAUCCCAUUGGACGAGUUCUUCCUGCGAUAUCAGCUGUCACCACGUGGCCAAUCUGCGGAACUGCCACUGCCUGUGCUUGGUGACCCAGGCAGCAUGACGCAUGCGCGCCAAAAAGCGGAAGAGGCGUACAUUGGUUCUGACAGCUCUGCACAGCUAAUCCGCCAAUCUUUACUGUGAUUAGACCUCCAGUCAGUAGUAUGCAUGUGUGCUGAAAAGCAGAAGUGGCGUGUCUAUCUUCUGACCAUUCUGUACAGCUAAUCCACCGCUGUCUAGUGUGCUCAGUCCUCCAGGCGGCAGUGCGCUUGCACCCGAGAACAUAUAAACGGCACCCAUUUCUCCGAGGCGCUCAGGUGUGGGUGAGCAGUCGGUGCUUGGGCUGCCAGCUCAGCGAUAUUCUCCCCCCCACUUCCCAUCCAGGAUGCCCCUUGCCUAUUUCCUCAGGUGGUUUUACACCCGAGCCCGCCCUGGGAACACAGACCACUUUUGGUGGCCCACUUUUGGUGCUGGUGUGGAGAAGCUCUGGGGUCACCCCUAGCAGCACAUAACCGGCUUUACUAGGAGGUUCUGAAUGGGCUCUUCCAACCUGCCCGUCCUGUCCCAGGCAACCGAGCUCCUUCAUGUCGCAGUGCCUCACGGCUCCAGGCACCCCACCGUGCGCUGCAGGUAAGCAGCCACACGCACCUGGCGCAGCCAUGUUGCUUGGCGCGUGGCUGCGUUGGCAGGUGGUCCCGUGCCUGUGCGGGUGCUGCCUGCAGUACGACCCGGCAGCCAGCAGAGGGCAGCAGAGACCGCGGUGCUGUUGUGGGGGAAGGCGGGGGGUGGUGCGAGACCCGCUCCGUGGCUCCGCGGGGUGACAGCAGAAAUUGUACAACAGAGCGGGAAGCGAGCAGGAAAAUGCAUCGGGACAGACUGAUGGGGUGAAAAAGCACCGCCACCUGCUCACCUGCCGAUCUUUGCCCGGAUGCUGCUUGAGCAAUGGAAGGCCAUGCGUCCCAUAAUGCCCCAGAACUCAGCUUUGGUGACUGGAUGCCUGAAUGGGUAAGCACACUGUAUGCGUAGCGUUCAAUUGCUCGUAUUUUGGAUGCUGUAACUGAGGGGGAGAUGGUUUCAGAGCAGGAAACAAUCUUAGGUCACUCGCCCUUGCUUUUUUGGAGUGUUACAGCCAUGCUGCCUCAGGCGCGUGGUCUCGCCUGGUGUAGGUCUCAUUGCAGUUUGUGCUCGUUGCAUCUACUUGGCCAUCUCACUUGUUCCAGUCUUUCUGCAGGACUUCCCUGCUGUCUGGCCAGUGAUCGCUUCUUUGCCGUGCGAUGUGCUAUGCCAGCCACGUGUUGUGUAUCGAGUGCCGAAUUCAAAGCAUCCUGGUCUGAUAUCACUCAGUUGCGUGUAUUUCAUUUUGACCAUCCGUACUCACACUGUGUUCGCAGGUUGGUGUGACAGAUAGCUGUAUGGGAUCUGCUGAGUCACGGCCUGAACCUCUGGUUGAGCAGCUGGAGGCAAGACCCAGUCAGCCCUGGGAGCAGAGGUGGAGGCAAUUCACUGUGUGACAGGAAGGACUGGAGCCUGGCUCCACCCCUCUUCAGCCUCAUUGAAGGGCUGACUGCCCCCUGAGGAAGAAUCUCUUUCUGGAGCUCCCUCCAUGGUGGAAGCCUUUCCCUGCAAACCCAGAAUCUUCCGAUGUGGGUGAGCGAUCUGCUUCCCUUCCCUUGUAGCACCUUGCUAUCGUGCCGCUCCUUCCACCCCUUUCUAACACCUUUUCCAUCACGUUGGUCCUUCUGAUUGCUACAGUACCUCUGGGUGUUCUUGUUGGUUUUGUCCUCGUCUUGGCCUCUGUUUCUGGGUGUUCUCCUUGCUUUUGUUCUGGCUUUUUGCCCCGCUCUUUCUCGGGUCUUCUACUUCGUACCCUUCUUAACAAUAAUUGCUAUGUUGUUUUUUUUUUCCCCUCAUCAGGGACUUGUCCUAUUGGGCAGGACUUUUCCUGUAUAAUUGAUAGCGGCUUGGUGAGUCCAUCAGGUAAUUCUUUCAGACUCUGGGAUGCCUCUCAUUGGGAUCCAUAGCAUCACGCUUGCAACUGAA